rnacentral:lncRNA from 10 species
AAGGUGAUGGAGGAGCAAGCAUAUCACAUAGCCAGAGCAGGAGCAAGGAGGCAAGGAGGAGAGGAGGCACCAUACACUUUUAAAUGACCAUAUCUCACCAUAACUCACUCCCUAUUGCAAAGACAACACCAAGCCAUGAAGGAUGUACUCACAUGACCCAAACACCUCCCACCAGGCCCCACCUCCAGCAUUGGGAGUUACAAUCCAACAUAAGAUUUGGGUGGGGACAAAUAUCCAAACUAUAUCAUUCUAUCUCCGGCCCCUCCCAAAUCUCAUAUCCUUCUCAUACUGCAAAAUACAAGUAUGCCUUCCCAACAGUCCCCCAAAGUCUUAACUCAUUCCAGCAUUAACCAAAAAGUCCAAAGUCUCAUCUGAGACAAGGCAAAUGCCUUCCACUGAUGAGCCUGUAAAAUCAAAAACAAGUUAGCUACUUUCAAGAUACAAUGGGGGUAUAGGCAUUGGGUAAACACUUCCACUUCCUGCAUUACUUCAGUCACAACACUCUCGACACUCUUGCUUGAACUGCCCUGGCUGCAGGCCUCUCAGCCUCAGGAGCACUUUAGGAAGAGGCUCACAUUCUCCAGGAACCAGAAUAGCUGUCGCCCACAGCCCCUGGGCUCUGUCACUGAUUCAGGUGGUUCCUCACCUUCCAUCACCAAUCUGCACUUUCUGGCUUUUGUGGGUGGACAGUGAAGAAGACAAAUGCAAAUAGAAUAUUAUUUAUGUUAUCUUUGAAGUGAUAAAUUUCUCAUUGUUAUUAAUUGCAAACUGCCGGGGUAAAGAGCAUAGGGUCCAUGCACACCAUGCCUCUAAAUUGCCUAAUAUUGGGUGAGAGUUACUUUUUUUUAAUGUUCUAAUCUAGUCAUGAUGAAUUCUAACUCCUUCAUAUUGAACUGCCUUUCAUUGUGUUUUUAGUUUUGCUCUGCUGGGCAGGAGUUUCUCUGUUGCAGAGCUUUGACCAGGACGUGGUGGUUUCCUUCAACCCCUAAUUCUUGGCAAUUAGUUAAUAUUCCUUUGUGGUAUUCCAUCGAUUCUCAUACAUGCAGUGCUUGAAUUCUACUAUUAGAAAUGAUGAACUGAAGGUUUUGUUUUUUUUUUCUGUCACUGCAGCCUUCAGCCUUCUUUUCCUCUGCCCACAUCUUAGACACUAAAAAUACUCCUUAAUAUAUCCUUGUACCACUGGUUGGAAUCAAAUGCCUCCAAACAUAAAUGUUAUUAAUUUUUCAAUAUUUUCUCCUAAUUUAAUUAGAAACUUUUUCAUUUCAAGUAAUAGACACCUAGCACAAACUGAACGAUAAAGAAGGGAGGGAUGGGGGAAUGGAAAGACGGAGUUAUUGGUUUGCAUUGGGUGGAAAGUACAGGAAUUCAUCUGGCUUUUGUCAGGAGGAGAAUCAGGGAAUCAGAGGUUAGCAUGAUGUCAUGAGUCACUGUGUCUCUCUCUAUUUCAGAUUUACUUUUCUCUGUGAAAUGACUUCAUAUUGCUGAGUCAUUACUCAGGUGAUCAGGAAAUGUGGUUUUUGGCAGAUACUUGGGGUCCUGCUGCUUGAUAUUCUAGAGGAGUAGAACCCUUUCCUCUUCCAGAGGACAUCUCAGGUAAGGUUUUGAUUAGUUUUGCUGAUUUCACCACUAUCUUGAACCAAUCACGGUGUUGGAGAAAUUAGUACUGUAAUUGGCUAUUGUAUAACAAGUAAGGAUGGUGAAGAGAGUCCU